CAACUACUCCCUCUACCCAAAUUUCUUGUCUUAGAUUUGUCUAGAUACGGAUGUAUCUAAUACUAAAAUGUGACUUGAUACAUCCGUAUCUAGACAAAUCUAAGACAAGAAUUUUGGGACGGAGGGAGUACUUU
rfam:Triticum aestivum genome assembly, contig: Triticum_aestivum_CS42_TGACv1_scaffold_221039_3B